AGUGAACGCUGGCGGUAGGCCUAACACAUGCAAGUCGAACGGCAGCACAGUAAGAGCUUGCUCUUACGGGUGGCGAGUGGCGGACGGGUGAGGAAUACAUCGGAAUCUACUUUUUCGUGGGGGAUAACGUAGGGAAACUUACGCUAAUACCGCAUACGACCUACGGGUGAAAGCAGGGGAUCUUCGGACCUUGCGCGAUUGAAUGAGCCGAUGUCGGAUUAGCUAGUUGGCGUGGUAAAGGCCCACCAAGGCGACGAUCCGUAGCUGGUCUGAGAGGAUGAUCAGCCACACUGGAACUGAGACACGGUCCAGACUCCUACGGGAGGCAGCAGUGGGGAAUAUUGGACAAUGGGCGCAAGCCUGAUCCAGCCAUACCGCGUGGGUGAAGAGGGCCUUCGGGUUGUAAAGCCCUUUUGUUGGGAAAGAAAAGCAGCAGGUUAAUACCCCGCUGUUCUGACGGUACCCAAAGAAUAAGCACCGGCUAACUUCGUG
rnacentral:rRNA from 1 species